GUCGAACGCCUGUAGCAAUACAGGAGUGGCGCACGGGUGAGUAACGCGUGGGAACCUGCCCUGGAGUGGGGGAUAACCCGGCGAAAGCCGGGCUAAUACCGCAUACGACCUGAGGGUGAAAGAUUUAUCGCUCUAGGAGGGGCCCGCGUCGGAUUAGCUAGUUGGUGGGGUAACGGCCCACCAAGGCAACGAUCCGUAGCUGGUCUGAGAGGAUGAUCAGCCACACUGGGGAUGAGACACGGCCCAGGAUCCUACGGGAGGCAGCAGUGGGGAAACAUUGGACAAUGGGGGCAACCCUGAUCCAGCAAUGCCGCGUGAGUGAUGAAGGCCUUAGGGUUGUAAAGCUCUUUCGGCGGGGACGAUGAUGACGGUACCCGCAGAAGAAGCCCCGGCUAACUUCGUGCCAGCAGCCGCGGUAAUACGAAGGGGGCGAGCGUUGUUCGGAAACUACUGGGCGUAAAGGGCGCGCAGGCGGCUCUGAAAGUCAGAUGUGAAAGCCCCGGGCUUAACCUGGGAAACUGCAUUUGAUACUCUGGAGCUCGAGUACGGGAGAGGAGAGUGGAAUUCCCAGUGUAGAGGUGAAAUUCGUAGAUAUUGGGAAGAACACCGGUGGCGAAGGCGGCUCUCUGGACCGUAACUGACGCUGAGGCGCGAAAGCGUGGGGAGCAAACAGGAUUAGAUACCCUGGUAGUCCACGCCGUA
rnacentral:rRNA from 1 species